rnacentral:rRNA from 1 species
CNUGGCUCAGAUUGAACGCUGGCGGCAGGCCUAACACAUGCAAGUCGAGCGGAUGAAAGGAGCUUGCUCCUGGAUUCAGCGGCGGACGGGUGAGUAAUGCCUAGGAAUCUGCCUGGUAGUGGGGGACAACGUUUCGAAAGGAACGCUAAUACCGCAUACGUCCUACGGGAGAAAGCAGGGGACCUUCGGGCCUUGCGCUAUCAGAUGAGCCUAGGUCGGAUUAGCUAGUUGGUGAGGUAAUGGCUCACCAAGGCGACGAUCCGUAACUGGUCUGAGAGGAUGAUCAGUCACACUGGAACUGAGACACGGUCCAGACUCCUACGGGAGGCAGCAGUGGGGAAUAUUGGACAAUGGGCGAAAGCCUGAUCCAGCCAUGCCGCGUGUGUGAAGAAGGUCUUCGGAUUGUAAAGCACUUUAAGUUGGGAGGAAGGGUUGUAGAUUAAUACUCUGCAAUUUUGACGUUACCGACAGAAUAAGCACCGGCUAACUCUGUGCCAGCAGCCGCGGUAAUACAGAGGGUGCAAGCGUUAAUCGGAAUUACUGGGCGUAAAGCGCGCGUAGGUGGUUCGUUAAGUUGGAUGUGAAAUCCCCGGGCUCAACCUGGGAACUGCAUUCAAAACUGUCGAGCUAGAGUAUGGUAGAGGGUGGUGGAAUUUCCUGUGUAGCGGUGAAAUGCGUAGAUAUAGGAAGGAACACCAGUGGCGAAGGCGACCANCCUGGACNGA